CCUUCCUCGCCCACUCAGUCCCGAGGGUUCCAGAGUCAGCUUGAUUUUCACAUCCAGAGAUCAGGCCUUUCCACAAAAUCAAAGAAAAUGGGACAGCUUUCGUUGAGCAUGAAAGGUCAAAGGAUUUCAAUGGGGGAGAUUUAGAUGUGAUUUUUAGAAAAUGUUAUCUUGUAGUUACAAUCUGGCUGAUCCAAAUCAAUACCUCUGAAUAACAGAAUACAGCAAGGAAUGUUGAAACUGUCUGCUCCAAAAGGGUGGCAGGCAUUUUGAAACCCCCCAAAUUCAAAAGCCACUUCAGAAGAGCGGGCAACCUGGGGAAAACCAAAAAACCAACCAAAUCAAAACAGCUGAUUUUGAAACGGCUAAGAAAUGGUCAAUUCAGUACAGCUGCAAAGUGUUCUUUUGCAAAGUGUUUGCAAUUGUGUUGUACCCGGCCUCAAUCCAGAGGCAUUGAGCCGAGGGUUGGACUCGAUGGCCUUAUAGGCCCCUUCCAACUCUACUAUUCUAUGAUUCUAUUAAAUUUAUAUUGAUUUUA